UACAGAGGUCCCAAGCGUUGCUCGGAAUCACUGGGCGUAAAGGGCGCGUAGGCGGGAUGGCAAGUCGGUCGUGAAAUCCUUCGGCUCAACCGAAGAACGUCGGCCGAUACUGCCGUUCUUGAGGGAUGCAGAGGAGAUUGGAAUUCCCGGUGUAGCGGUGAAAUGUGUAGAGAUCGGGAGGAACACCGGUGGCGAAGGCGGGUCUCUGGGCAUCUCCUGACGCUGAGGCGCGAAAGCGUGGGGAGCAAACGGG
rnacentral:rRNA from 1 species